rnacentral:rRNA from 1 species
UACGGAGGGAGCUAGCGUUGUUCGGAAUCACUGGGCGUAAAGGGUGCGUAGGCGGGUUUUUAAGUCAGAGGUGAAAUCCUGGAGCUCAACUCCAGAACUGCCUUUGAUACUGAAAGUCUUGAGUAUGGGAGAGGUGAGUGGAACUGCGAGUGUAGAGGUGAAAUUCGUAGAUAUUCGCAAGAACACCAGUGGCGAAGGCGGCUCACUGGCCCAUAACUGACGCUGAGGCACGAAAGCGUGGGGAGCAAACAGGG